rnacentral:rRNA from 1 species
UACGAAGGGGGCUAGCGUUGCUCGGAAUCACUGGGCGUAAAGCGCACGUAGGCGGAUCUUUAAGUCAGGGGUGAAAUCCUGGAGCUCAACUCCAGAACUGCCUUUGAUACUGGGGAUCUCGAGUCCGGAAGAGGUAAGUGGAACUCCGAGUGUAGAGGUGAAAUUCGUAGAUAUUCGGAAGAACACCAGUGGCGAAGGCGGCUUACUGGUCCGGUACUGACGCUGAGGUGCGAAAGCGUGGGGAGCAAACAGG